UCUACUUGUCAAUACACAAUGUAGUCAUACAUUUAUACAUAAUAAUUUAUAAUAAUAAAGGAAUCAGAAAAUAAUACGAGGUGUGGCUAUUACAUAACGAGACUGGUUACGAAAAAGUGUUUUAUUAUAAAAGUUAUUCUACAUUCAAAUGCUCCCCUUCAAUAUACUCCCCUCCCCUCGCCACACACCGUUUCAUUCGUUUCUUCCAUUGCUCGAGGCAGUGCUGGAAGUCUGUUUUCGUAAGACCAUUCAGGAGUUCCGCCGAUUUUUGUUUCACCUCUUCCAUCGACUCAAACCGGAUUCCUUUUAAGGCAGACUUUAUCUUCGGAAACAAGUAAAAGUCGCAGGGUGCCAAGUCGGGUGAGUAAGACGCGUGUUCGAGUACUGGAGUGCCUUAAGCGGCCAAACAACGCUUCACGCUUUAUCCUGGUGCAAGAUCCACGACUUGUUUUUCCACAAUAUCGACCGUUUCUUACGAACUCAUUCGCGCAAUGUUGCCAAAACUGUCAAAUAGUAAUGUUGGUUCACAGUUUGACCCUCUGGAACCCAUUCAGUCAUCACGAUGCCGUUGUUAUCGAAGAAAACGGUUUUGAAUUUAGAUUACGACCGAAUUGGAUUCCGGUGCACUCUCGACCUUCAGAAAAUAAUUUACGCCACUCAAAAACACGCGCCCGAGAUAGGAAAUCCUCACUAUAGGCCUUUUUUAACAACUUAUAGCACUCGGUUGGAGUUUUUUUUAGUUUAACGAGAAAAUUUUACGUUUAUCCGUUGCUCAUGUUUUUCGUCACACAUGGUUUUCGGCACGAGAAAAAAACACGUUCGUUUCAAACCACUACUGCGCAAAUACUAUAAUAGUGACGAAAACGUGUUUUGGUACGUGCUUAGAUAAGAUAUCUAGAUACCCAACGCAUUACUCGUUUUUUUCACUACCCAUCUAGGGCGCCCUCUAGGCGAGCAGUCUCGUUUUUUAAUAGCCACACCUCGUACUUAUCAACAAUUUAUUGUUGAUAUUUUUAUUUAAAAAGAAUUAGGUUUUAGAAUUGUGUGUUUUAAUUUUGUAUUUAGUUGAAGC